AGGCAUCUCAGGUCUGCCUCACGGUGUGUACUUAUUGUGUCUGACAUCAUGUCAGAUUGGGCGUUGCACUUAAUUGUGUGGGUCUAGUUUGGCAGCUGAUACUUUGAGAAAAUUAGAGUGUUCCAAGCACGCGAUAGCGUUGAAUACUGCAGCAUGGGAUAUCGAGACAGGACUUCGGUCCUAUCUUGUUGGUUCUCGGGAUCGAAGUAAUGAUUAACAGAGGCGGUUGGGGCCAUUCGUAUUGGACAGUCAGAGGUGAAAUUCUUGGAUUUGCCCAAGACGAACUACUGCGAAAGCAUUUGGCAAGGACGCUUUCAUUAAUCAAGAACGAAAGUUAGGGGAUCGAAGACGAUCAGAUACCGUCCUAGUCUUAACCAUAAACUAUGCCGACUAGGGAUUGGAGGCCGUUAUAUAUACGACUCCUUCAGCACCUUAUGGGGAAACCAAAGUCUUUGGGUUCUGGGGGGAGUAUGGUCGCAAGGCUGAAACUUAAAGGAAUUGACGGAAGGGCACCACCAGGAGUGGAGCCUGCGGCUUAAUUUGACUCAACACGGGAAACUCACCAGGUCCAGACAUGGUAAGGAUUGACAGAUUGAAAGCUC
rnacentral:rRNA from 1 species